UUUUAAUUUGAUGGACGUUUUGUUGACAACAGAUCAUUAUGUUUAGAUAUGUUUUGAUACUCUUAGGAGUAUUGUCCACAUAUGCAAAACAAACACCAAAUAUAGGAUUAUAUAACCUCAACUUCAAAAGUUUGAAAAACGAAACUAAAUCGUCAUCAUUUGUCUGGAAGCAAGUUUCAGAGUCAUCUCCCUUUCACGUAACCGAUCAGAACAUUUUUAAUGUGCCUUCUGGUGGAAUUGUUAAAGCAGAGCUAUCACUAACAACUAGAACCUACAAAAAGAAACUUAAGGCCCUCGCUUGUAUAACUCUGAUACGCACAAAUCAGAAAACAUGUCAAAGAAUAUCUGGUGUUCCAUGCAGAGGGAAAUUGUUCGUCAGUCAAUUAGUGCUUCAUGAAAUAUAUAAGGUGCAGAAAAAUGAUAAACUUAAAGUGUCAAUUUCACGUUGGAAGAAAUACAUCUACAAAGUAGCAGAGUACAACCGCCUUCGAUUAUACUACCUGUAGAAAAGCUUCGAGACAGACUCAAAAGCAGAGAAGAUAAGAAUGAAGAAUAAAGUGAAUGAAGUAUGACUACGGCGAUCAUGCAAAAUCUGCAAGUGAUGGUCUAGUGAAAGCAAGAUAAGGGUUAUGUUCUUCUCGUAUAAUUCAUGAUGGCAUGAUACUAAACCCUGAACGGGAGGGAUUGUGGUUGAUUUUAAUAUGCUGAAGACAUAAUCUCUCAA